rnacentral:rRNA from 1 species
UACGGAGGGGGCAAGCGUUAUUCGGAUUCAUUGGGCGUAAAGGGCGCGUAGGCGGCCUGGCAAGUCAGAGGAGAAAGCCCUCGGCUCAACCGGGGAACUGCCUCUGAAACUGCCUAGCUCGAGGCCGGGAGAGGGUGGCGGAAUUCCUGGUGUAGCGGUGAAAUGCGUAGAUAUCAGGAGGAACACCCGUGGCGAAGGCGGCCACCUGGACCGGUUCUGACGCUGAGGCGCGAAAGCGUGGGGAGCAAACAGG